GCCCUGCCAGUAUGGUGGCUAUGACCCUCGGCUUGUAACUGAGUGGGUUCGGGUUCGAAUCCAGAGUAAGACG
rnacentral:tRNA from 1 species